AGAGUUUGAUCCUGGCUCAGGACGAACGCUGGCGGUGUGCUUCACACAUGCAAGUCGAGCGAAUGAAGAAGGUAGCUUGCUACUUUUGGAUUUAGCGGCGGACGGGUGAGUAAUAUAUAGGAAUCUGCCCUAGAGCGGGGAACAACAGACCGAAAGGUUUGCUAAUGCCCCAUAGGUAUGCAGUCUUCGGAUUGUUUAUUAAAGGAGUAAUCCACUCUAGGAUGAGCCUGUAUCCGAUUAGCUAGUUGGCGGGGUAAAGGCCCACCAAGGCUACGAUCGGUAGUUGGUCUGAGAGGAUGAUCAGCCACAAUGGGACUGAGACACGGCCCAUACUCCUACGGGAGGCAGCAGUGGGGAAUUUUACACAAUGGGGGAAACCCUGAUGUAGCGACACCGCGUGAACGAAGAAGCCUUUUGGGGUGUAAAGUUCUGUCGGCUGGAACGAAAAAAAUGACGGUACCAGCAAAGGAAGCAUCGGCUAACUACGUGCCAGCAGCCGCGGUAAGACGUAGGAUGCAAGCGUUGUCCGGAUUUAUUGGGCGUAAAGAGUUCGUAGGCUGUUUGUUAAGUCUGAUGUUAAAGACUGGGGCUCAACCUCGGAAAUGCAUUGGAUACUGGCAGACUGGAGUGCAGUAGAGGCUAGUGGAAUUCCCAGUGUAGCGGUGAAAUGCGUAGA
rnacentral:rRNA from 1 species